UACGUAGGGUGCGAGCGUUAAUCGGAAUUACUGGGCGUAAAGCGUGCGCAGGCGGCGCGUUAAGACAGGUGUGAAAGCCCCCGAGCUUAACUUGGGAAUUGCGCUUGUGACUGGCGUGCUGGAGUGUGGCAGAGGGAGGUGGAAUUCCACGUGUAGCAGUGAAAUGCGUAGAGAUGUGGAGGAACACCGGUGGCGAAGGCGGGUCUCUGGGCAACAACUGACGCUGAGACGCGAAAGCUAGGGGAGCGAACAGG
rnacentral:rRNA from 1 species